GAACGUUGGCGGCAUGCUUUACACAUGCAAGUCGAACGGCAGCGCGGGCUUCGGUCCUGGCGGCGAGUGGGCGAACGGGUGAGUAAUACAUCGGAACGUGCCCAGUAGUGGGGGAUAGCUCGGCGAAAGCCGGAUUAAUACCGCAUACGACCUGAGGGUGAAAGCGGGGGAUCUUCGGACCUCGCGCUAUUGGAGCGGCCGAUGGCAGAUUAGCUAGUUGGUGGGUAAAGGCCUACCAAGGCGACGAUCUGUAGCUGGUCUGAGAGGACGACCAGCCACACUGGGACUGAGACACGGCCCAGACUCUACGGGAGGCAGCAGUGGGGGAAUUUUGGGACAAUGGGCGAAAGCCCUGAUCCAAGCAAUGCC
rnacentral:rRNA from 1 species